GGAGCGUUCUGUAAGCCUGUGAAGGUGGCCUGUGAGGGUUGCUGGAGGUAUCAGAAGUGCGAAUGCUGACAUAAGUAACGAUAAAGCGGGUGAAAAGCCCGCUCGCCGGAAGACCAAGGGUUCCUGUCCAACGUUAAUCGGGGCAGGGUGAGUCGACCCCUAAGGCGAGGCCGAAAGGCGUAGUCGAUGGGAAACAGGUUAAUAUUCCUGUACUUGGUGUUACUGCGAAGGGGGGACGGAGAAGGCUAUGUUGGCCGGGCGACGGUUGUCCCGGUUUAAGCGUGUAGGCUGGUUUUCCAGGCAAAUCCGGAAAACCAAGGCUGAGGCGUGAUGA
rnacentral:rRNA from 1 species